rnacentral:rRNA from 1 species
UACGUAGGGUGCAAGCGUUAAUCGGAAUUACUGGGCGUAAAGCGUGCGCAGGCGGUUAUAUAAGGCAGUUGUGAAAUCCCCGGGCUCAACCUGGGAACUGCAUCUGUGACUGUAUAGCUAGAGUACGGUAGAGGGGGAUGGAAUUCCGCGUGUAGCAGUGAAAUGCGUAGAUAUGCGGAGGAACACCGAUGGCGAAGGCAAUCCCCCUGGACCUGUACUGACGCUCAUGCACGAAAGCGUGGGGAGCAAACAGG